AUGGUGGAUGCGCGCGGCGUAAUCACAUCCAUUUUCAUCAUGUUGAAAGAGGACAUGUACGUCCUCAUCCGCAUCGAAUUCUUGGUGGCACUAGUCACGAUGAUGUUCCUGGUGAUGUUCAUCGUGGACUUUCACCGCUGCCGGUCUCGCAACUUGAUGGCAAUCAACAUGCUGCAGAUCAUUGAUGGCCUGUCCGAUCAUAUUGUGUAUUAUCUUCUAGGGGCCAUGCAGUCUGCAAGCUUCAGCAAUCAGAUGUUCCCGGUCUGGUCCAUCGUGCUGGUGAGCCUCCGUGCCAGCCUCGGCUACCUCUCUGGGUAUGGCAUCACGGACCGCGAGCGGCAGCUCACUGAGGCAGCAAACGUGAUAAAGUUCAUAGUAGCAGGGGUCUUGAAUGGCACACGCGGCCUGGAGUUUAAUGACCCACUCUGGUUACUCUAGGCCAUUCUGGUGCUGAGGAGCGUGUGCAGAUUUCUCGCACAUCAUAGGGCGAUCAAAUCCUUGUGGCACGGCCGUAGCUCGGAAUUCCUCCCGGAGUACAUGCAGGAAAGCCGCAGCGACCGUGAAAAGGGCGAAAACUUGGACAGCCAUCAAAUGUACCUGGUUUACGGAGAGUCAAGUCAGAAGGUCAAAUUGCAGAGGCCUGGGUAUACUCUGCAUCUCAAUGUCGUCAAUCCUGGAUCACUCAUCACACUGGAUAAGAUUUCAGAUUGCCCUGGGCAUCUGCUGAGCAAGAGCAACAAAUACAAGGAUAUGAGCCUGGCCUUCACACUGUCAAGGCUGCUUCGCUGUAGGCUUGACGCAACGCUGCACCAAGAUAUCAAAGAUGAGAUAUGUGGUCUAAUCAUUUCAAAAGUUACUGGUCAAGAAAAGAUGGAGGCCAAGAGGAUAUUCAGAAUCCUACAGUGGGAGCUUGGAUUUGUCAGAGACUACUUUUACACCCUCUACCCUAUGGUCUUCUGUCAAGGUCUUUCUUCUCUCUGCUUCAGCGUCUUGCUGUCCAUGGUGACCUUCGCUGCCGCAUUUUGGCUGGCGAUCAGCAUCCGCAAGGCCUACGAGCCCACCGAAGAAACCGUUGUGCUCUGGGUGGGCGGAUGGAAUGUUGACGUUAUCAUCACUUGGGUGUUCCUCUUCAUGAUGUUCAAGGAGGUAUGGGAGAUCAUCACCUACCUGCUAUCAAACUGGACAAGAUUACUCCUUGUGUGCAAAUAUGUGCAGCAGAGCAUGGAGAUUGCUCUCACGGAGAGUAUGACAAGUUUGUUAUUUGUCUCCAAAAUUGCUGACCCAUGGGAUGGCCAAAUCGAUCAGUAUGAUUUCCUGCAGUCCUGUACUUACAACCCAUCAUUUUGGGAAAAGGCAAAAUCAGUUACCCUGGGAAAGACUGCAAGAAAAUUAGAUGGCAGAAUAUGUGGUGAGCCUAUCAAGAUCUCCGAAUGUGUAAAGAAAGCAAUCCUGCAGGCACUCGGCAAAAUAGGCCUCAACAAUGAUCAGCUUCCCAGAGAAAUCCCAUCACUUAACGCAGGCAACCAUUUUCAGAGGUACAAAUGGGCCUGCAUGGAUCUAGACACAUGCUCUCAGGUCAUUCUGGUGUGGCACAUCGCCACCAGCUUCUGCCAAAUCAAGCUGGUGAAAGAGGGUGAAAUUGAUUUAUCCAAGCCCGGGUUUGUGAGCUCAGCCUGGUCAUAUCUGAAAACACUCUGCCGCCCUUCCAAGCCAUGCAUUGUAGAUGAUAAAAUCCAAAAGCAACUUGACCUCAAGACUAAUUACGACACCGCAACCAGCUUGUCACGGUACUGUGCUUAUCUGCGGGUUUUUCGGCCUGAACUGUUGCCGGAUAGUUUUGUUGUACCAGACUUGAUAUUUCUAGAAACCUUGCAAAAAGCUCAGGAACAAGCCGAUGAUUGCAACUUGAAAUGGUGUUGGUAUAAUAAACUUAUGGAUGCUGCACGAAACCAUGUGGAUAGGAGGCUGAGCAUGAACAUAGUGCAGCAAGGUGCUACUUUAGGCAAGGACCUGAUUUCCAUGGAUAAAGAAAUGCGUUGGCAGAUUCUAGCUGGAGUGUGGGCUGAUUUAUUUGUGCACAUCGCCCCCAGUUGGAAUGCAGUAGAUCACAAGAACAACCUUGAGUCAGGAGGUGAGUUCAUAACCCUCAUAUGGGCAUUGCUUUGCCACUGUGGCAUCGAGAAGAGCAGCAUGUGGAAGAAUGGUAAAGAAUCUGAAAGCAAUGCUCCAGAACCUCAGGAAAAUAAUACUGAAACCAGCAACACUCAGCCCGUGGAGCAGCAAGAAUCUGAAAGCAAUGCUCAAGUACCUCAGGAAAAUAAUACUGAAACCAGCAACAUUGAGCCCGUGGUGGAGCAACCAGAAUCUGAAAGCAAUGCUCAAGUACCUCAGGAAAAUAAUACUGAAACCAGCAACACCGAGCCAGUGGACGAGCAACCAGAAGCUGAAAGCAAUGCUCAAGUACCCCAGGAAAAUAAUACUUAA
rnacentral:rRNA from 1 species